GUGGGGCGCGCCUAGGGUUCCGCCGGCACACGGCCGGGUCUGGUCCGAGAGACGCAGGCGGCCGGCAUCGGAGCCCGGCCGUUCCACGGCGGGACAAAAGCCCGGGAGAC
rnacentral:sRNA from 2 species